UACGAAGGGGGCGAGCGUUGUUCGGAUUUACUGGGCGUAAAGGGCGCGCAGGCGGCUUAUUUUGUCAGGCGUGAAAGCCCCGGGCUUAACCUGGGAACUGCGUUUGAUACGGAUGGGCUAGAGUUCGGGAGAGGAGAGUGGAAUUCCCAGUGUAGAGGUGAAAUUCGUAGAUAUCAGGAGGAACACCGAUGGCGAAGGCAGGUCUCUGGGCCAUAACUGACGCUGAGAAGCGAAAGCAUGGGGAGCGAACAGG
rnacentral:rRNA from 1 species